rnacentral:rRNA from 1 species
UGGGGAAUAUUGCACAAUGGGCGCAAGCCUGAUGCAGCCAUGCCGCGUGUGUGAAGAAGGCCUUCGGGUUGUAAAGCACUUUCAGCGAGGAGGAAGGUGGUGAACUUAAUACGUUCAUCAAUUGACGUUACUCGCAGAAGAAGCACCGGCUAACUCCGUGCCAGCAGCCGCGGUAAUACGGAGGGUGCAAGCGUUAAUCGGAAUUACUGGGCGUAAAGCGCACGCAGGCGGUUUGUUAAGUCAGAUGUGAAAUCCCCGGGCUCAACCUGGGAACUGCAUUUGAAACUGGCAAGCUAGAGUCUCGUAGAGGGGGGUAGAAUUCCAGGUGUAGCGGUGAAAUGCGUAGAGAUCUGGAGGAAUACCGGUGGCGAAGGCGGCCCCCUGGACGAAGACUGACGCUCAGGUGCGAAAGCGUGGGGAGCAAAACAGGAUUAGAUACCCUGGUAGUCCACGCUGUAAACGAUGUCGAUUUUGGAGGUUGUGCCCUUGAGGCGUGGCUUCCGGAGCUAACGCGUUAAAUCGACCGCCUGGGGAGUACGGCCGCAAGGUUAAAACUCAAAGGAAUUGAC